CCUACGGGCGGCAGCAGUGGGGAAUAUUGGACAAUGGGGGCAACCCUGAUCCAGCCAUGCCGCGUGUGUGAAGAAGGCCCUCGGGUUGUAAAGCACUUUCAGUGAGGAAGAACGCCUGGUGGUUAAUACCCAUCAGGAAAGACAUCACUCACAGAAGAAGCACCGGCUAACUCCGUGCCAGCAGUCGCGGUAAUACGGAGGGUGCGAGCGUUAAUCGGAAUUACUGGGCGUAAAGCGCGCGUAGGUGGCUUGAUAAGCCGGUUGUGAAAGCCCCGGGCUCAACCUGGGAACGGCAUCCGGAACUGUCAAGCUAGAGUGCAGGAGAGGAAGGUAGAAUUCCCGGUGUAGCGGUGAAAUGCGUAGAGAUCGGGAGGAAUACCAGUGGCGAAGGCGGCCUUCUGGACUGACACUGACACUGAGGUGCGAAAGCGUGGGUAGCAAACAGGAUUAGAUACCCCAGUAGUC
rnacentral:rRNA from 1 species